CCUGUACAAAAUUUCUAUAAAUUAGAGUUUAAAAGAUCAUUAACAGUGUAAUUCACACACACAUAAAGAAACAAAAGAAAAGUUUAUAAAUGGAGUUCAUAAAUAGUUAAAAUUGGGUAAAAGGUGUGCUGGUUAAAAGUAUAAAUAUAAUAUGUAGAGUUUAAUAAAUAAGACUAUUUACAGUUAAAGUUAAAUUCAUUAUAAAAAUGUUUUUGUUUCAUUUGAGAGAAAAAGUAGAGAAGAAGUUGUGUUUAUCUGUGUAACCUAAUCUGUUACCUGUCACCUGUCAAUCAUUUAAUUCCCGUUUUGCUUUUGGUUGUGUUAGUACUUGAGGCAAUUAGAGUAACAUCAUUGUGUAAGGGGCGGGACUAGUGGGACAGGUUUGUGUGAGGAGUAGUGAGCACGUAUGGAAAACGGAGAACAGACGCUAUAAUGAGAGCGCUAAUGAAGGAGGCAUCGUGGUGUGGGAAGCAUUAAUGUUUUAUGAAGGUCGACUACUCGUGGUCCUUACAACAAAAAACUUUGGUGUGACCUGCAAGAGGAGACGGACGUUGGUGAGCGAGAGACUGGUUUUCCAACCGAAGGCCCUGCUGUUUCUGCUUUGCUGUUUCUGUGUGCCCUGCCGUGAUCAUCUGUGCUGUGCUUCUUCCAUUACCAUUACCAUCGCCAUUGCCAUUACCAUUACCAUCGCUGUACUAACUUAACCUGGAUUCGUGAGUACUAACAUUCACCUGCACGUGCUUUUUUGUUUAUGCUCAGUUUCUGAGUGAAGCGGCCAUUCCAGUUUUUAGGCCUCACCGCACACAAAGUGUCAUCGAACAGGCCUGCAACGGGGUUGGACAUUUUUUCAGAGGGAAUGAAUGAUUGUUUAAUUUCAAUAUAACCACAGAAAGGUUUUUUUUCCUUUUGGGAAAGUGAAGUUUUCUUUAUUGUUUUAUUUUUUUUUAUUUCAUAUCUUUUCAUGCUUAUGUGAUUUGUUUUAUUUUAUUCUAAGAUACAUUUAUCUUUUAUUUAAUGUUGUAAAUAAAUACUUGUUAAUAUUUUUGUAAUCAAAAUACAGUUGUGGUGAUCUUUAUAAGAAUUACAAAUAUACAUUUAUUAAGUAACGUAUAAAACAAGUUGAAUUUUCCUACAACGAGCCCAGGCCCAGUCUCAUUGUAUUAACC